rnacentral:lncRNA from 1 species
GUGGUGGCCUUACAGAGGGUUAGAUGAUGCAGUCUGUACUGUGUUGUGGUGUGGUGGCCUUACAGAGGGUUAGAUGGUGCAGUCUGUACUGUGUUGUGGUGGCCUUACAGAGGGUUAGAUGCUGCAGUCUGUACUGUGUUGUGGUGUGGUGGCCUUACAGAGGGUUAGAUGGUGCAGUCUGUACUGUGUUGUGUUGUGGUGGCCUUACAGAGGGUUAGAUGCUGCAGUCUGUACUGUGUUGUGGUGGCCUUACAGAGGGUUAGAUGCUGCAGUCUGUACUGUGUUGUGGUGUGGUGGCCUUACAGAGGGUUAGAUGCUGCAGUCUGUACUGUGUUGUGGUGUGGUGGCCUUACAGAGGGUUAGAUGCUGCAGUCUGUACUGUGUUGUGGUGUGGUGGCCUUACAGAGGGUUAGAUGGUGCAGUCUGUACUGUGUUGUGGUGUGGUGGCCUUACAGAGGGUUAGAUGGUGUUGUCUGGGGUUGGUAGAUAAGGUGACAUUAGCUUGGAGUCUGUGGACUGUAGUGUUAUUGUUCUAAGAUUGUAGAGUGGUGUGGAUGGAUGGAUGGAUGGAUGGAUGGAUGGAUAGGUGGUGGGAGUAGAUUAUGAGAAGGAUUCCACAGGUUGUUCUGGUAGAUAAGAUGUAUCAGUCACUGUCUGACAGUGUAUAGGAUGUUUGCUGUAGUGUUGUUAGUGGAGGUUAGGACUAGUAACAGGGAUGUGGAGGUUAGGACUAGUAACAGGGAUGUGGAGGUUAGGACUAGUAACAGGGAUGUUGUGGUGUUGGUGUAGGUUAGGACUAGUUACAGGGAUGUUGUGGUGUUGGUGUAGGUUAGGACUAGUUACAGGGAUGUUGUGGAGGUUAGGACUAGUAACAGGGAUGUUGUGGAGGUUAGGACUAGUAACAGGGAUGUUGUGGAGGUUAGGACUAGUAACAGGGAUGUUGUGGAGGUUAGGACUAGUAACAGGGAUGUUGUAGUGUUUGUGGAGGUUAGGACUAGUAACAGGGUUAAUGAGCCAUGGUGGUGUUGAUGUUGUCUCUAUGGAAGUGCUGCCCUGGAAGUGCAAGGUAGUCAUCCAGUGUUGUAGACCCAGCCGUGCAUUUCUCUCUCUGUCUGUGUCUCUCUCUCGUUCUUUGUCGCUCUCUCUCGCUCGCUCAAUCACUACUCCUCCUCUCUCUCUCCCCUUCAUCUCUCUCUUCAUCUGUCUCUCGGUCUUUCCCUCCAUCUCUCUCUCUGUGUUAGUGAUUACAUCACUCACUCACUCUCUCUCUCUCUCUCUCUCUCUCUGUCUCUCUCUCUCUCUCUCACCCUCUCUGUCUCUCUCUCUCUUGCAUAACCGCCAGCUUUGUUUGCUCCAGCUGAGGACUAAUCUUUCCCGCGAGACAGACUGAAGGAACAAGGGAGAGGAGGAGAGCAGGACAAGCCAACCUUUAUAACCUGACUGGACGCUCUGCCUCGUUAAUUCAAUCAGUCCACCAAUUAAUGGGCUUUAGAGCAGAGCCCUGUUUACAACCACCGUGACCUGUGUGUUUAUGGAGCGGUGUUUUUAAUCUGUGUGUGUGUGUGUGUGUGUGUGUGUGUGUGUGUGUGUGUGGAGAGCAGGCGCAUGGUACUCCCCAUGGUAGCCCAGUCGUACUGAAGGAUAAACAGUGAUUAUCUGGGCUGCCUGGAGAGAGACACAUGCUUAUGUACCACUCUCAGACAGACCACACAUACAUGUGAGGGACACGGUAGCCAAGACAACGCUCUAGCUGCAGUCAGAGGAGAAUAACACAUAAACAAAGACACGCAGAAUCACGUUCAGUCAAGUGUGACUUGUCCUGCCUUUCAUACACGCGUCCACACAGAUACACACACACACAAUGCCGCUGGCGGCGUCUGUGAGGUGAGUGCGAGGCGAAUGUUACGUAAGAAAGAUCAAAGCUACUUAAUCAGCUUUGAGAGAGAUGGGGGAGGAAUGGACAGAGGAGGGAUAGCGGGAAAAUAAAGAAUGGGGAGAGAGAGGGAUAGCAGAGAACAGAGGGUAGAGAAAGUGGUGACAGGCGGUGACACUGCGCGUGUCCUCGUUCCCUGUUUACGAUGGGAUAAUCUCACACACACACACACACAAACACACAAGCUGUGCUCUGUCCUCCGUGUCCCCCUCACAGCCCACUGUGACAUGCUGUUGCCAAUGCCACGAUAGCGUGUGUGUGUGUGGUGUGUGUGUGUGUGUGUGUGUGUGUGUGGUGUCUGUCUCUUCUUUUCCUAUAUGCCUAUUCCAUAUCUCUUUCUCUCCCCCUCCCUCUCUUUGUAAACCCUUUCUUUGCUUACCCUUUACCUCCUCCCUCUCUUCUCUCUCGCCCACUACGUCUCUCUUACAGGAAUUGUUAGCAGAUGUGGACAGAGCUUUUUCCUUCAUCUAAAAUUAGCCCCAAUAGAAGAAUGGCAGGAAAAGAGGGAGGGAGGGAGGGAGGGAGGGAAAGGGGGAUUGAUGGAGAAGCAGAAAGGAAUAGGGAAGGAAUAGGUUGAUGGUCUCGGUGAAGUAAGGGUGUAUUUUUGGGACCUCACACACCAUGCUGACGCAGUCAAGCCGUCGGGGGCACAAACAAAUUUGGAGGAGAGGAACAGCGUCCCGGCGUCUGAGUAGCAUGUGAUGCUAACCCGUCCUGCUGUUGUUGAAAAGGCCUGGAUUAAGAUUAGGACUAGUUGUAAGUGAAUAAUGAUGAGAAGGAGUAGUCUGACAGCAGGCAGCAGUAGUCUGACAGCAGGCAGCAGUAGUCUGACAGCAGGCAGCAGUAGUCUGACAGCAGGCAGCAGUAGUCUGACAGCAGGCAGCAGUAGUCUGGCAGCAGUAGUCUGACAGCAGGCAGCAGUAGUCUGACAGCAGGCAGCAGUAGUCUGACAGCAGGCAGCAGUAGUCUGACAGCAGGCAGCAGUAGUCUGACAGCAGGCAGCAGUAGUCUGAUAGCAGGCAGCAGUAGUCUGAUAGCAGGCAGCAGUAGUCUGACAGCAGGCAGCAGUAGUCUGACAGCAGGCAGCAGUAGUCUGACAGCAGUAGUCUGACAGCAGGCAGCAGUAGUCUGACAGCAGGCAGCAGUAGUCUGACAGCAGGCAGCAGUAGUCUGGCAGCAGUAGUCUGACAGCAGGCAGCAGUAGUCUGGCAGCAGGCAGCAGUAGUCUGGCAGCAGGCAGCAGUAGUCUGGCAGCAGGCAGCAGUAGUCUGAUAGCAGGCAGCAGUAGUCUGACAGCAGGCAGCAGUAGUCUGACAGCAGGCAGCAGUAGUCUGACAGCAGGCAGCAGUAGUCUGACAGCAGGCAGCAGUAGUCUGACAGCAGGCAGCAGUAGGGGAGAGGGACUAUAGAAAGGUCUUCUUCCACCUCAGCAGUUAGAUAAUUAGGACUCUAUAAAAUCAGUUAUACUUUUUAUCUGAACUGUUUAGUUUUUCCCCAAAUCACAUUUUCUCGGUUUAGUUUUUCCACGUUUCUGUUUUCCCCAAAAAAUGUUCAGGUUUUCACUCUCUAAAGUCAACAACAAUACUUAAACCACAUCAGGAGACCGCUUUUGAGGUCUGUGGAUUUUGGUGUUGUUGAAAUGUAGAUUUCUGGCUGUAGUUACUGUUUAAUUCCAUUGUGUAGUUAGCAAGAGGCUGUUGUGUAGAAGUGUUUUUGUAGCUCACGUGAUGGUAGAGUUUACAAAGCAAACACUCACUGGAUUGACACAAAUAAUCCUGAUAUCAUUCUGACAGGAAAGCAUAGGCUACUUUGUAGUUAACAUUUCAUUGAGAAGGUUUUUGGGAAAGCCUUUCUAUCUACCAGAAGACUUUUCAUUAGCAUCAUCGCUAACAGCUACACAGUGGUAGAUGUACCGCACAUACAGACAGGGGGAGUUAUUGUUGCCUCUUCAGAAAGUUGCAGGAAAAUACACAUCACUGAGGCAUUCUGGAUGCUAGUUGAUACAAUUCAAUCAAUACAUUUUGGAAUAUUGUUGAAUUCUGUUUUAAUGUCUGGAUUCCGUGAUUCCGUCCACGUUCGGCGCAUCUCUGAUGUUAUAGGGCCCGACAUAAUACACUCAGCCUCUCGUUGGCACCAGGGACACGGAUGUUUGUGUGUGUGUGUGUGUCUGUGAGCACGUGUGUGGAAGAGAACAGAGAAGUCCUGUAUAGUGUAACAGGUGAGUGAGAGGCGCCUGCAGUGGAUUCCCCAGGACACUACAGGACAGACCAGACAGACAGGCAGCACCACUCAACACACUGGCUGCAUAGCCUACAUAGUGAGACACAUGGAUCAAACACCACCAUACUGAGGUCGCUAAUGAAUGAAGUAUCACAUCACCUUAAACAAUCACCUGAAGAGUUGCAUCGUUUCAUUACUUUGUAAUGGGGUUAUUUAGUGGGGAGGACAGUGGAGCAGUUGUGGAGGGGAGGACAGUGGAGCAGUUGUGGCGGGGAGGCUGUUCAUAUCAACAGGCGGUCAGGUGUUCUUUUCUUGGCGCCUCCCCAGUGAGUGGGAACGUACCGGCCACUGGAUAGGAGGAGGGAGCGGGAACGUACCGGCCACUGGAUAGGAGGAGGGAGCGGGAACGUACCGGCCACUGGAUAGGAGGAGGGAACGGGAACGUACCGGCCACUGCAUAGGAGGAGGGAGCGGGAACGUACCGGCCACUGGAUAGGAGGAGGGAGCGGGAACGUACCGGCCACUGGAUAGGAGGAGG